UUGCUUUCUUGCUGACGAGCGGCGGACGGGUGAGUAAUGUAUGGGGAUCUGCCCGAUAGAGGGGGAUAACUACUGGAAACGGUGGCUAAUACCGCAUGACGUCUACCGACCAAAGCAGGCGGUCUUCCGACCUUGCGCUAUCGGAUGAAACCCUUUGGGAUUAGCUAGUAGGUGAGGUAAUGGCUCACCUAGGCGACGAUUUUAGCCGGUUUGAGAGGAUGAUUCACCCCCAUGGGACUGAGACCGGCCCAGACUCCUUCGGGAGGCAGCAAGGGGGAAUAAUGCCCAAUGGGCGCAAGCCUGAGGCAGCCAUGCCGCGUGUAUGAAGAAGGCCUUAGGGUUGUAAAGUACUUUCAGCCGGGAGGAAGGGUGUUAAGAUUUAUUCUUCUUACCAAUGACGUUUACCCGCAGAGAAGCCCCGGCUAACUCCGUGCCAGCAGCCGCGGUAAUACGGAGGGUGCAAGCGUUAAUCGGAAUUACUGGGCGUAAAGCGCACGCAGGCGGUCAAUUAA
rnacentral:rRNA from 1 species